CUACGUGCCAGCAGCCGCGGUAAUACGUAGGUCCCGAGCGUUAUCCGGAUUUAUUGGGCGUAAAGCGAGCGCAGGCGGUUAGAUAAGUCUGAAGUUAAAGGCUGUGGCUUAACCAUAGUACGCUUUGGAAACUGUUUAACUUGAGUGCAGAAGGGGAGAGUGGAAUUCCAUGUGUAGCGGUGAAAUGCGUAGAUAUAUGGAGGAACACCGGUGGCGAAAGCGGCUCUCUGGUCUGUAACUGACGCUGAGGCUCGAAAGCGUGGGGAGCAAACAGGAUUAGAUACCCUGGUAGUCCACGCCGUAAACGAUGAGUGCUAGGUGUUAGACCCUUUCCGGGGUUUAGUGCCGCAGCUAACGCAUUAAGCACUCCGCCUGGGGAGUACGACCGCAAGGUUGAAACUCAAAGGAAUUGACGGGGGCCCGCACAAGCGGCGGAGCAUGCGGAUUAAUUCGAUGCAACGCGAAGAACCUUACCAAGGCUUGACAU
rnacentral:rRNA from 1 species